CUGCCCAACAGUCUAGCUGCCACGGACCAGCAGGAAUAACGUGAAAUGGAGCCUGUCCUGAUUGUGCACUUCCAGUACUGAGCCGAGGACCCUGCUGGAGGAUAUCCUUGAUCUUUCCAUCCCUUCAUGAAAACAUUUUCAUUCUGUUUCUCCUUCCUCUAGUCACGAAUGCAAUGCACAAUUACACUCCCAGCAAGAAAUCAGAGUGUUUUGUGAAAGACACUUGAUUAACUUUCUUGGGGGGGUCUUUUCUGCUGGAGGUACUCCCAGUAUCGCUCUUCUCUUCCCCCAACCCCAGAAAAGAGGCGCACCCCUUGUGGUAAAAUGGCCGUAGUCAACGCAGAAGUGGCUGAGAAAUAUUUGGACAGCAACCCUGUGUUCGCCAAGAAGUACUAUGACAACAAAUUGCGGCCAGCGGCCAUCGCCAGCUUACUGUCGUGCAAAACGAUGCAGGUGGACUUCAGCAGCUUCCACGAGCUGACCAGCGUGGAGGAGAGCGAGAUCGUGUUCGACCUGAUCCGCGACAUCCAGGAGAACCUGCAGAUGGAGAAGUCCGUCUUCAACCUGAUGCGGCACCUGAGCUUCUUGCUCACGGCCGACCGCAUGAGCCUCUUCAUGUUCAGGAUGCGAAACGGCACGGGCGAGCUCGCGACCCGGCUUUUCAACGUGCACAAGGACGCCACGCUGGAGCAGUGCCUCGUGCCGCCAGACAGCGAGAUCGUGUACCCGCUGGACACUGGGAUCGUGGGCUACGUGGCCACCUCCAAGAAGACCAUCAACGUUCCCGACGUCACUCAGAACAGCAACUUCAGCGACUUCGUGGACCAGCUCACUGACUACAAAACCAAGAACAUCCUGGCCACGCCCAUUCUGAACGGCAAAGACAUGGUGGCAGUCAUGAUGGCGGUUAACAAAGUUGGGGCUCCACACUUCACCGCCAAAGACCAGGAGACUUUGAUGAAGUAUCUCAACUUCGGCAAUUUGAUUUUGAGGAUUUUCCAUCUCAGCUACCUUCACAACUGCGAAACCAGACGAGGACAGGUGUUGCUUUGGUCUGCGAGCAAAGUCUUUGAAGAGCUCACUGACAUCGAGCGGCAGUUCCACAAGGCCCUCUAUACAGUACGGGCCUUCCUGAACUGUGACCGCUACUCCGUAGGCCUCCUCGAUAUGACCAAAACUAAGGAAUUUUUCGAUCUCUGGCCAGUGCUGAUGGGAGAAGUACCUCCAUACUCCGGUCCCAAAACCCCAGACGGCAGAGAAAUUGUGUUUUACAAAGUCAUCGACUAUAUCUUGCAUGGAAAGGAAGACAUCAAAGUCAUUCCGAACCCACCUGCUGAUCACUGGGCUCUUGUCAGUGGGCUGCCCACCUAUGUGGCUGAAACCGGGCUGAUUUGCAACAUAAUGAAUGCAGCAGCAGAUGACGUCUUUAAAUUUCAGAAAGAGCCCUUGGAUGAAUCCGGAUGGGUGGUCAAGAAUGUGCUCUCAAUGCCCAUUGUCAACAAGAAAGAGGAAAUCGUGGGCGUGGCCACCUUCUACAACAGGAAGGAUGGGAAGCCCUUUGACGAAAUGGACGAAACGCUCAUGGAGUCUCUCGCCCAGUUCCUCGGCUGGUCGGUUCUCAACACCGACACGUACGACAAGAUGAACAAGCUGGAGAACAGGAAGGACAUCUUCCAGGACAUGGUCCUCUACCACGUCAAGUGCAGGAAGGACGAGCUCCAGCUCAUCUUGAAAACGCAAGAGGUGUACGGAAGAGAGCCACAGGACUGCGAGGAAGACGAGCUUUUCGCCAUUCUGGAGGAAGAGCUUCCAGACCCGGAGGAAUCUGAGAUCUACGAGUUCCACUUCUGUGAUUUUGACCACUCUGAGCUGGACCUGGUGAAAUGUGGGAUUUCAAUGUACUAUGAGCUGGGCGUGGUGGAUAAAUUUCACAUCCCACAGGAGGCUCUCGUGAAGUUCAUGUACUCCGUCAGCAAGGGCUACCGGAGGAUCACCUACCACAACUGGAGGCACGGCUUCAACGUGGGCCAGACCAUGUUCACGCUGCUCAUGACAGGCGACCUGAAGCGUUACUACACUGACCUAGAGGCCAUGGCCAUGGUAACUGCUGGGUUCUGCCACGAUAUCGACCACAGGGGAACCAACAACCUCUACCAGAUGAAGUCUGGCAAUCCACUCGCAAAGCUGCAUGGAUCUUCCAUUUUGGAAAGGCACCACCUGGAGUUUGGGAAGACUUUGCUGAGAGAUGAGGACUUAAACAUCUACCAAAAUCUUAACCGACGACAGCAUGAACAUGUCAUUCAUCUCAUGGACAUUGCCAUCAUCGCAACUGACCUGGCACUGUACUUCAAGAAGAGAGCCAUGUUCCAGAAGAUAGUGGAUCAGUCCAAAACGUACGAUGACUGGGACAAGUGGACCGAGUACAUGAUGCUGGAGACGACUCGGAAGGAGAUUGUCAUGGCGAUGAUGAUGACUGCCUGUGACUUGUCAGCUAUUGCCAAACCCUGGGAGAUACAGAGCAAGGUGGCGCUGUCCGUGGCGGCGGAGUUCUGGGAACAGGGUGAUCUGGAGAGGACCGUAUUGCAGCAGAACCCCAUUCCAAUGAUGGACAGGAACAAAGCAGACGAGCUACCCAAACUGCAGUGCGGUUUCAUCGAUUUCGUCUGUUCGUUUGUGUACAAGGAGUUCUCCCGCUUCCACGUGGAGAUCACGCCCAUGCUGGAACGGCUGCUCAACAACAGGAAGGAGUGGAAGGCCCUGCAGGAGGAGCACGAGGGCAAGCUGGCCAACCUGGAGGAGGAGAAGAAGAAGAAGGAGGCGGAGGUGGCGGCGGCCGCGGCGGCCAAGCAAGCAAGCAAGCCCCAGGCCGAGUCCAAGACCUGCGUCAUCAACUAGAGCAGAGGAGCGUCAAGGGAGUGUUCUGCUCACAGCCGCCUCGUCCUGCUCCCUGCUCAGAGCAGGCGAAGAAUGCUCUCGCACUAGUUUGCUGAUGAAACCUACCUACUCAAUGAUUCAGGCAGGAUCUCUGAAGACGAUCAAACCUGCUUUGGAAGAGUGCAUUUCACAAAUUGGAGCUCAGAUGAUGGAGUGGCGAAGUCCAUGGAGAACCGAGAGUGAGUUGAUUGUAGCAUAAGGAAGUUUGAGAGCAGAAUGAAUAAAACACCAUUUCUUUAACAAAGGUGUAGAAAUGAUCAUCUAACACCUAUAUUCGACUAAAAGAUAAGUGGUGCUGAGUCUGCCUGUUAUUCUAUAGAAAAUGAAUGUUACAUUAUUCUUAACCAUAGGACUAUGAAGUGAAAUCAUUAUUUUUAAUGAAAAAUGACUGUUUUCUUGUGACAGAUCAAAACAUUGUGUAAUGAAUGGAAAUCUAGGUUUGGGGAGACACAAUUGUCAGUUAGUAUUAAAUACCACUCACCCACAAUCGGCAUUUUUGAUUAUCAAUUGACCCUCAUACCAGCCAAGAAGGAUUCAUUCCACACUUCUUUCCAGUGUGCACACAGGCAGAACCAUUGCUUUUCAUCUGCAGAGCUGGCGCUGAUGGAGAAGUGACAUGUCUCUUACCCCCAACCCUAAAAGCAAACUGGUACAUAGCACGUCAACACGACCGGGGUCAUCGUACGACAGGCAGAGCCUACCUUCUCUCAGGCUGCUAGUGACUGUAGUCCUAGUUGGAAUCCAGCCUGAGCUGUAAGGCAUGUUCACAGGUUAAGCCAAUCAGGCGCCAUUUUCUGUGCAUCUUAAAUAUAAACUCACCCAUCUGUGAUGUCGCUGGGCACCAACAUUUUUGCGAUGUACCUCAUGUUCAAGCCAAUGACCUAGCAGGUCACGGGUCAAGGAAAUAGGUAAAAAUGUGUAAAAACAGUGAAGCCAUGUAGACAGUUCUGAAAAGAGCAGAUAGAAUGCUGGAGCAAAAGAAUUGUUGUAACUGGAAAAAAAUAGCUUUCAGAAUAUAAACUCCCACUGACCGGCUGAAAGAAAUUGCCACUGGAUGGGCCCAAGCCAUUGGAUGGUAAUAAGUCUGCCUGUAGGUCUGUCACUCUUUUUAUUUAUUUUUUUGUCACUUAACUGUUCAGCUUAUAUUCUGCUCCAGGUUUACUUAGUCGUUAUGAGAUGGUCAUAAUGGCCUUAGCUCUGCCUGAAUUAAGCCUGCAUUUCAACCACACUACAUCAUAACCAAAAACCCCAAAAAGACCUCUCAAAGGAAUCCUAGGGUAGGAACUACCCCCACCUUUCUGAGCUUUCUUACCUUGGAAAUCAAUUUAAUCAGAUCUAGUUCAACUGGGCUUCUGAGUCAUGCACUGACCGAAUAGACAAUUAACGAGCUGGUUAUAAACAAAGUCCAAACAUCUGAAGACGUACCUGGCACUGCAGCACAGCUGCCUACCACCUGAAAUAAAAUGCGAGACACCUCCCUGUUGUUGAUCACUGGUGGGAGAGAAAAAGACAAUUAAUUGGCAUUCUUUUCAAAUGGGGAAAAAAAUCCCAGGAUGAGCUAGCUUCCUGCAUGUAAGCAUCUGACCCAGUAUCCACUGGGACGUGAGACAGGGCGGUGCUCAGUAACUGUCUUCUGGAAAAUCUAGCUAAUUAACAGCCAGGGCUGGUCAUUCCUCCUUAGAGCUGCUAACGCAGGCACCCUUCCUUCUGAGAAGUGGGGACGAGAAGGGUUGUGCUCAGGAGCGUUUUUCAGAAGGUAGCUUUGCCAAAGCAACCCCAUCGCACUCGCUACUAAAUGGCUCACAGUCCGUACAGAGAGAGAUCUUUUACCUGAGAAAAUGCAUUCCAGACGCUCCGAUACAGACUUUCCACUGGGGUCAUUUGGAACCGGUCAAAUCUUGACAUCAGCUACCUCCUGGCAAGAACCAGCAGCUUUUAAACAUUAGUACUUGUAGCCCAGCUGAAAGAAGAGAUGUGUAUGCAAUGUGGAUGGUUUUCGUUUGGAAAACAGAGGGCAUUGCAUCAGCUAGGGAAGGUUACAAACCAGAACAGGCCAUUUGGUCCAUGCAAAUCAGGUGGAUGGUAGUAGCUAUAUUAUCCCAGGAUCUCAUCCAGCCCUUUCUUGAAAGAAGCCAAGGCAUCAGCUUCAUCAACAUGGCUGGAUUGCUUGUUCAACACUCCCACAACCCUUGGUGUAAAGAACUGCUGUCCUAAUUGGAGGAUCUCAAUCAGCUGCUUUCUGAAAGACUCCAGAGUGUCAGUCUUUCCAUUCGUUUAUUCGUUCUCCCUUGACGACAACGUUACAAUUGGAAUUAUGGGUAGGGCAUUUUGUUUCAUGCUUCUUUUUUUUAAACUAAAUUUAACAAACACCUGAAAGCAAUUAUCCGUCUAUUUUUGUUACUUGCGAUACAUCCAGAGCAUUCAGAAUAGCUCUUCUACCUUCUUUUAUGUUAGAACACAGGUGAAUAAGUAAAAAUCCAAUAAACAUUACGAGUCUAGCAGACUAAAACCCUCAUAUGAUCACACCUGUAUUACUAGACAAGCCACAGUGCAUGGUGAGCUUAAUGUUAAAGCUUUUGUCAAAUGAGUUGCUAUUAACAUUAGGACUGCUACCUCAAAUCAAUCUCAGCUGCUUCUGUACUGUAUAACUGGAACAAUGACUGAAAAUAAAGAGUAAAAGUUGAAGAAAUGUUGUUCAGAUUUGUC